GACGAACGCUGGCGGCGUGCCUAAUACAUGCAAGUAGAACGCUGAAGGAGGAGCUUGCUUCUCUGGAUGAGUUGCGAACGGGUGAGUAACGCGUAGGUAACCUGCCUGGUAGCGGGGGAUAACUAUUGGAAACGAUAGCUAAUACCGCAUAAGAGUAGAUGUUGCAUGACAUUUGCUUAAAAGGUGCAAUUGCAUCACUACCAGAUGGACCUGCGUUGUAUUAGCUAGUUGGUGGGGUAACGGCUCACCAAGGCGACGAUACAUAGCCGACCUGAGGGGGUGAUCGGCCACACUGGGACUGAGACACGGCCCAGACUCCUACGGGAGGCAGCAGUAGGGAAUCUUCGGCAAUGGACGGAAGUCUGACCGAGCAACGCCGCGUGAGGGAAGAAGGUUUUCGGAUCGUAAAGCUCUGUUGUAAGAGAAGAACGAGUGUGAGAGUGGAAAGUUCACACUGUGACGGUAUCUUACCAGAAAGGGACGGCUAACUACGUG
rnacentral:rRNA from 1 species